rnacentral:tRNA from 1 species
GGAGAGUAGGCAAAUAUUGGUUUGUUGCACUUGUCUGCUAAACAAGGCCGCACCAGAGGCGGUGGAGGUUCGAUUCCUCUACUCUCCG